UUCUACGCGUCUUCUUGUGAGCAUGGAUGGUCUGAGUUGUUCUUUUUUGGUUUUGUUUUGGAUUUUUUGGUUUUGAUGGGUUUUGCUUUUGCCGUUCAGAUUUUGGAUGGCAGUUUCUCAUUAGCUUCCCUUAUCCACAGGCUGGCAGUGGCUCCUAUUAAUAUUUAUUAAAAGCGGCAAGAUCAUUGAGGUCUCUGGAGUGAAAUCACAGCCAGGUUUUAUGGAAACAGAUCCGAAAAGCUGAGGACUGAUGUGAAAAUGUCUGAAAUGGAUGAUUUCGGAAGCAUGUUCACAUUCCUAAAAAGUGUCUUCCCUUCGAUUGUGUUUCCUCACUGACUCUCAGCUAGUAAUCCCAGUGUCUUUAUGUUUGCCAGUUUCUUAAAUGAGCGGUGUGGAGGAGAAUAGACCAUCCUCCAAAAGUCUAACUCUGCACACAUGCAAAUCUGACACAUGCAAGUGGCCAAAAUAAGCUUCUCCUGAUGAGACAAGUGAAUAUGAGCUGCUUAAAAUAUCUCCUUGUUAAUGGCCCUACUAUUUUUAGAAAGGGCAGGAAGGCAUAAAGAUGAAGAUGAUCUUCCCACUCACUAACGUCAGGUCAGAGAGUAAUUCAGCUGUCUCAAAAAUAAAGUGUUUGAAUAGCUAUGCGUAACCCAUGACCUUCAGCCAGGCGGUAACUGAUUCAGUAGAAUGCUAUAGAUAGACAUGAUGAACACAUCUGAAAUAAGGAUAUUAACACAACUUGUUUAUGUCAGUUUUUGGAGAGAGAAUCAUUCCCAGGCAUGUUUGGUGUGAAGCUGUGUGACGUGUUAGCUAUUCCAUCAUCAUCAAACACAAAUUCAGACACCCGACGCGGGAAAAAUGAGAAAUGGCUUUCUAAGCUCUUUCCUUCAAUGGCACUGGUCUCCACCUGGCAUUACCUAAUGGAAGAGAUACUUGACUAAAAAGGGCUGGGAGUUCAGAAAGAGGACAAUGGAAGAUCAUUCCAAGAAGACAGCAGGGUUCAAGGAGACAGAUGUGACUCAAGUGUGUGCCCGCAGAGAAGAGGCUGUCCCCACAGGUCAUUUGUGUAGCACCUCUGCACUUACUGAGUUUAUAUCCACAUCGGUUUUCAGAGUCAUUUAUAGGAGUAUCAGUUACUAAUUUGACCAAUUCCAAUACCACAGAAUUAUUAUCCUAAAUUCAGCCUUCUUUUUGUGAUUGUAAUACAUAAGACAGUUAUAAAAUUAGCCUAAUUCUGCUCAAUCAACAUUUGAUUCUUUACUACAGGAUAGACAUGGGCGAGGUGCCAGAAGAAAAGAAAAUAUUCAAAAUGAAUGAAAUGUGGUUCCUGUAGUGAUGGCAAGCAGUAUAAAUGACCAGUUAUAUGACCUAAAAAAACAAAAACAAAAACAAAAAAACCUAAAAAAAAAAAAAAGUAAAAUGUAAGCAGCAGCACUCAGAGUGGGAUGCAACACUUUCUGCCUUUGAAAACCACAUAGGAAAUAACUGGCCCAGGAGUGUGGCUGGACCACAUAGGGGCCACACCCUAGGAGAGCCUGAACACAAGACUCAGGCUUCUGGACUUUGUUCUGCAGUUUAGAGGAAUCGCUGCCACUUAAAAAAAAAAAAAUCUGGUUACUGGAAGGGAUCCCAGGAAAAUGGAGUUUGUUUUGCUUAUCAGUUUACAAAAACAUGUGAUUCGGGAUACAUGACAUGAAGAGGACCUUCAACAUUUAAAUUUUCUCUCCAAGGAGUUUAUUAAAUUAUUUUAGGAAAGUGACUAGGAAAUGUAUGUUUAUCUCAGUUCCCUCAUCCCUUUUCAUUUGCAAUAUUUUUAAGACUUAUGGCAUUGUUUGCUCUUGAAGGAUAAUCCUAAACAUGCCCAGUAUUUCAAUGCAAAGAGGGUCAGAGGAGCAAUUUCUUUGGGCCCUGAGUAUCCACAUAUAAAUUCACUUGGGUGAUCAAACAAAAAAAUAACAAGAGGGUGAAUGUUUUUCAGCCAAUUGUUGGUUAUGUAACACUUUGUUAGCCAGUAGGUGUUAUUUGGGUUCUUCCCAGUUUUAUCUCUUUCCCUUUAGCAGGUCACUUGAGGAAUCAUGCUGUUGAUUAGGAAAAAUGCUAAUCAUGAUGUAGAAAAAAUAGUUUAAUAGUUCAUUAGCAAGCCUGGAAAAUUAACCUUUUGGGGGAGAGUAAAUUAAUAUGUAGAGUAACGUAUUGAGGUGUUUACUUUCCACCUCACUGGUAAUGCCUGGUCCUAUUCUAGAUUAUCAGGAAAGACAUUUUAGACUCAAAGGAUUAUUGAACACUCAUGCAGGCAGUUUGUAAUCUGAAGGAAAACACAGUAUAAUUACAUUUUCUAAUUGGCCAAAUCAUUGUCAUUCUUUUCAGUUAAUUUCUUUAUUUUAUUUUCCCAUGACUUUUCCAAUUCUCAUAAGCUUGUAAAUGGGUUGCACAUGGCUAAUUAAAGCCUCCAUGCUCAAAAUCUAUUCAUAAGAGUAUGUAAAUGUUUGAUGAGCCACUUACUUCUAGUAUGAACACAGGAAAAAAGAUUCCUCAUAGAAAAGCUCACUAUGGAAAAAAAGCCCUCAAGUGGUCAUGCUUCUUUCUUUUUCC